AGCCAACUUCUCUACAAACUUCCUUUGAUGUUGUUGGGCGUACUUACAAAAUGGCACAACGUUAGAGAUUUUGUAUAUGUAAGUAUUGGAGAAUUUUUUGUGAUGAGAUUGAUAAUAUUUGUUUGUGCAUUUUCUUAAGACCUUUCUUUCCAGGAUUUCCAAUUCGUUGGCAACUAUUGGGGAAAUAGGAAACCAGAUUGGAAAUGCGUAUGUUAGGAUAGAUCCAAUUGCCACCUUAUAUAGGAGCAGCUUGGUGUUUUGAGGUAAAUAAUUGCUGUUAAGGAUGUUUGAAAAACUCACUAAUAUACCUUUAACUUUUUGCAUGAUGGAACGAGCAUGUUCGUUGAAUUUUAGGAGAUGAUUAAAUGUUACACCAAGGUACUUUAAGGUUGUGCUGAAAGGAAUUUCUACUCCUUCUAAAGACAAUUUUAAUUGCUUGCUUUCUGGUACAACUUUUCGAGGGCAUUUGCCCGACGCAUUACUUGUUGAUUAUGUGUAGGUGUUCUGAAGCAACACUCAGGGCAAUGGCUGGCGAAGGAUUAUGUGCGUAGAUUAUGCAAUCAUCUGCAUACAGGAUUGCUUUGGAAUGUUGAUACAUGUAUGGAAAGUCAUGAAGAAACAGGUUAAAACGGUAUGGUGCCAAGAUACUACCUUGAGGAACGCCGCUAUUUACAUGGCCCAAGGAUGAUGAUGUAUUCUGGAUCUGAACCAUAAAUUUACGAGAAUUGAAGAAAUUCUUUAGCAUUUUUAUAAUAAAUGGAUCUACUCCAAGUUGAAUUAAUUUGAACAAAAUACCGAGCACUACUUCCAGUAUUUUACUAAUAUUUGACAAAAGGGAAAUUGGGCGAAAGUCAUCAACGUUGCAAUUUGCUGUUUUCUUGUUAAUGGGUAUGAUUUUGGCAACUUUCCAUUGUUUGAGAAAGUAUCCGUUGUUAAUGCAAUUAUUGAAAAGGCACAUGAAGUAAAGUGGUAUGUGUCUGGAUUGUGGAGAGAAUUAAAAUUUUCAUCGAAUGAGUAUAUAUGAGUUGGUGUUGAGUUGAUACAUGUUAACAGCGUAGAAUUAUGCUCAUCUGAGGCAGGAAGUGUUGUUGAGCCUUCAAAUAUGGUGGAAUAAAAAUUCUUAAAAUGA